rnacentral:rRNA from 1 species
GAUGAACGCUAGCGGCAGGCCUAAUACAUGCAAGUCGAACGGUAAGUAUGAUAGCAAUAUUGUACCAAGAGUGACGUACGGGUGCGUAACACGUACGCAACCUACCCUUUACAGAUGGACUAGCUCGGGGAAACUCGAUUAACCCGUCAUAAUAUAAUUGAAUGGCAUCAUUUGGUUAUUAAAUCUACGGAGGUAAAGGAUGGGCAUGCGUCUGAUUAGUUA